AAAUAAGUUGAACAUUAAACAGAUAUUUUGUUUUCGAAAUACUCUAUAGAAAUGUGUUGUGUUUAGCGUAUAAAUAAUACGAGUACAACAAACAAUAUUGAACAUUUAUUUUUAGCAACAUUUACCUAAAUAUUCCAAUUUUAUUUGUGAAAAAAAAAAUAAAUAAAUAAUGAGAAUAAUUUGAUGCCAGAAAUUGUUUUUCUAACUAUUUAAAGAUGAUGAUGAAGAACGAUCGAUAAAAAAAACGGUUUUGGAAUGCGUUUUCUAGUUUUGGUGUUUUUUCUCUUCGGUUUC